rnacentral:misc_RNA from 1 species
GAAACAAGGAGGUUCUUCAUAUGAUUCUCUAGAGAGAUUGACAGAUUACAUUCUCUUAUUGCAGCCUUUGCGUUCUCAUUGAGCGUGCUUUUGAUAUCGUGCCCUUAAGAAAUAAGGGUAUGUAUAUUAGGUACUGCCUAAUAAUUAAUUAUGUAAUAAAAUGAGUAAUGAAGUGUAGUAUAACUAUUAUUUGAUUAUAAAAUAAAA